rnacentral:RNase_P_RNA from 1 species
GGAGGCGGCUGGACGGCCGCGGACGCGAUCGCCGAAAGGCGGCGUCCGAGGAAAGUCCGAGCUCCAUAGAGCAGGUUCGCGGGUAACGCCCGUCCGCCGUGAGGCGAGGACCAGCGCCACAGUGACGAUGCCCGAGCCGCGAGGCUCGGGAGUGAAACGCGGCAAGCUCGAGCCGGAGCAAGACCGAAUAGGAGGGCGAAAGGCGGCGUUCGCGCCGCAGCAGGCGGCUCGCUCAGCCCUCGGGUAGGUCGCUCAGAUGGAUGGCCGUCACCGGGCCGAUGGCGACAUCGGCGCGGGACAGAACUCGGCUUACAGGCCGCUCUCCAGGG